rnacentral:rRNA from 1 species
GAUUUCUGACGAAACUGCUAGCUGGCCCGCCACGUCAGUGUGUGAGUGCCGGCUUGGCGUUUGUCAUCCGUUCGAACGAUAUGCGCGCUGCCCUUCACUGGGUUGGCGCUGCAUGUUUUCGAUCUUUUACUUUGAAAAAAUUAGAGUGUUUCAAGCAGGCAUUUUUGCUAUGAAUACAUUAGCAUGGAAUAAUAAUCUAGGACUUUCGGUUCUAUUUUGUUGGUGUUCUGGAGCUGAAGUAAUGAUUGAUAGGGAUAGUUGGGGGUGCUAGUAUUCAAUGGCCAGAGGUGAAAUUCUCGGAUUCCUUGAAGACUAACUUAUGCGAAAGCAUU